CUCUGAUAUGAUAAGAAUGCACCUUUAUAGAAACACACCGGGUAGCUGCAACUUGUUUCUUUAUAGAGUCAAUGACUGAUAAAACCUCCUUCAUGCUUGGAGAUGUUUCUUGUGGUUUUGCCACCAGUUCCGGCGAGUCUUUGGGAGGGUCCGAUCUGCUAGCGGAAGCGGACGGCGAAGCCUUCGACGCCAUUGUCUGUCGCAGGGCAGAUUCGAACCCGAAUAUCCAAUGGGGAUCCGGCUCGUGACCCGGAUCAUGCAGGAACAGACAAUGCGGUGACGAGAAUAAGAAAAGUACGGUGA
rnacentral:misc_RNA from 1 species